AAACCCUAGGGGUGACUCCCGAGACCUACAUGCUAGUGAGAGAAACAAACCACUAGUGGGAACUCAAAUAGACCACCCUACCUAUUCCAGUUUCUUGGGAAUAGUUCCUAGCAGCCUUUCAUACGAAGUACCUCCCAAAGCAUCUCUGACAUAUUAAGGAGAUGAAGUUUGUCUAAUUGGUCCAAUGGAACAUGACUAUGUUAGAAUAUGCUCAUAAGUUGCUUGAGUUGGGCCGAUACUCCCCUGAGACAUUGUUGGAUGAAGGUAAGAAUGCUAGGAGGUUCGAGUGGGGCCUCUGUCUAAAGAUCAGACAACAUUUGUUUCUGCUGGAGCUCAGGACUUAUUUGGUCGUUCUGGCCAAGGCACAGCUAGUAUAAAGGAGCUUUCCCACCCUCUAUCCCUCAUCUCCACCCCACAGACCAGCACCUACUGCGCCUGUUCAACAGAAUAAGAGGCCCAGGCCGGUGAUCCAGGCUCCCCAUCAGGCUCCAGUUGUAGGACAUGGUAAAAAAUGUCAGCAUUGUGGCAGGGAUCAUGGGACCGACCCUACUACCGUCUCAAUAACACCUAUCGCAUAUGUGGUAGUGCCUAAUAUUAUGCGAGAGAGUGCCCAAGGAACCAGAAUCAAGGUAGACCUCUUAUCU
rnacentral:lncRNA from 1 species